UGGGGAAUAUUGCGCAAUGGGCGAAAGCCUGACGCAGCGACGCCGCGUGAGGGAUGAAGGUUUUCGGAUCGUAAACCUCUGUCAGAAGGGAAGAAACCGCACUGUGCUAAUCAGCAGUGCCUUGACGGUACCUUCAAAGGAAGCACCGGCUAACUCCGUGCCAGCAGCCGCGGUAAUACGGAGGGUGCAAGCGUUAAUCGGAAUUACUGGGCGUAAAGCGCACGUAGGCUGCUUUGUAAGUCAGGGGUGAAAUCCCACGGCUCAACCGUGGAACUGCCGUUGAUACUGCUUAGCUUGAAUCCGGGAGAGGGUGGCGGAAUUCCAGGUGUAGGAGUGAAAUCCGUAGAUAUAUGGAGGAACAUCAGUGGCGAAGGCGGCCACCUGGACCGGUAUUGACGCUGAGGUGCGAAAGCGUGGGGAGCAAACAGG
rnacentral:rRNA from 1 species